CUAUAGCCUUACUUUUUGCUCAUUUUUUUCCACUUAUUUCAUUUUUGAAAAAGUGGCAAAAAAUGGACGAAAAGUUAAGGCCAUAG
rnacentral:miRNA from 1 species